CUGGAUAAACAAGAAAUUCUGAACACUUUGAGUCUGGAAAUUUUCAGAACACCUAGACAGCAUCAGUCAUAACUCCAUACCUGUGUGAGACUGGAAGACUGGAUAGGGCUGAAGUUGGAGAAAUGCCUUUUCCCAGGGUUGUCAGACUGUCAUUUGUUCUGAUGAAGACCCCGCACUCCUUGAGUGGUCAGCCAGUUUUAUCCCAGGGCAGCCACACUUCAGAGGCCUCUGCAUCAUAAGCUUCAUCUAUCUUCAUAUUCAGCAAAACACCAGAUAAGUGGCUAAUUAGCAUAAUUAACAUCAGAAAUGGGUUUUCAUUGGUGAAUUUAGUGGCUUGUUAAUCAGCAUAAUGAAUGUUAGAAAUGGGUUCUGAAUUGUGAAAUUAGAAGAAAUCAAGAUAGUGAAUUGGUUAAAGUAUUAUAGAAACAUACUUAACACUUGCAUAAAAUGGGAAAUUAGAAUCUAUGAGAUCUGUUGGGAUGGCCCCGAAGGUUACAUCAUUAAAUGGACUUGAGUCCAGUCUUUGGGUGAGAGAAUUUCAUAGUGACUGAUGCAAAUUUGUAAAGGUAACAAAAUCUGCCUCUGAAAUAUUGCUAUGUUUGUCUCCUGUAAAUCAUUCAUGUAACAAAUAUGUAUAGUUUGUUCAUCUAAAAGCACAGUGAUCUGGGUCUUUAUCAAACUUAAACAAUAUUGUAUUCACUCUUUCGGGUUUGCCUGUGCAUUCAUGUUUAUGUAUGUCUGUAUGAACAUAGAUUUUGGUCUGAAACUUGCUUUUAUUACAACUGGUAACAAAGCUUGCUUACAAUGAGCAACAAAUACUCACACACAUCAAAAUGUUCAGCUUUUUCUAUAAAAGAACUUCUGAGUUGUAUGAAAUCAAAUUGGUUUACAUCAGUUCAGAACGGUUUGCAAUAAUGUGCUACAGAGAAGUAAACAUCUUCUGUUCCAGCAUUACAGGAUUCUGUAGUGUGUUGAAGACCUGCUGUUUGGUAAGAUGAUCCACACUCCUUGAGACAAUUCAGCCCUGAUGGCCUGACAGUAUUGUUGUAACUUUUCAAUAACUGUAAUGUUAUUACUUCUGUUUUAGAGAGGAAUAAAUCUGAGGUCAAAGAGGUUAAGUAGCUUGCCCAAUUCUAAUACAUGGGAAGGAAUACAGAAAGUAGUUAAUUCCAAAUGUCACUUUUUAACAUCAUGUUCUUUUCUCUAAGUCAUGGUUCUAUAUCUUGGGACAUAGAAAAUAGAAAACAAGUUCCAAUGAACAACACAGCCAAAAGAGAAGUUUUUGAGGGAAAGCACACAUAAAUUUCUUAACCUCAAGUGCCAAAGAAUGUCUCCUAUUUCUUAGGGAUCACAGUAAAAUCCUCUUGGUAUAAAUUCUAGUUGUUGCUUGAUGCUAAGUUCAAUGUUUACUAAGCACCAGAUUUCAUUCCAUAGAGUGGGUUCAGUAAUUCUUAGCUAAUUUUUUUGUUGCUAUUAUAAAAUCUUAAGUUGAAAAAACCUUUCAGGUACUGUUACGAAAAGACAUGUGAACAGGAUGGAGGCGCCUGAAAAUUUUACCCAAGAUUAUGUUUCUCGGAAUUGCUAAGAAGUACUUCUUAGCAAAUACUAAUUUAACAAGUCUUCUAAUAGGAAGUAUUGCACUACACAAUCAAGUUGUUUUUAACUAGGAAUCAUUUCAUUUUGAAAUAAAUCACAGGUUUACAUAUAAACACACACACACACACACACACACACACACACACAGCCCACAUAUGUAUGUCAGCUUAACCAUAUGCAGCUCUGAUAGCUCUGAUUAAAUAUAUGCUUCCAACCCUAUAAACAGCAAGAUCCACAGUCGCUUCCAUGAAAUAGUUAUUUCACCGAGACUGGAUAAAUGGUAAAGCUUUUUCCUCUCUUCCAGCUGUAACCAUUCCCUUUCUUUCUGGGAUCCUCUGUCCUCCUUCCUUGGAAAAGCACCUUCCAUAACAUACUGAGAGUAAAGAGUACAGUGCUCUUGUGAAGGCAGAAUAAAAACUUGGAGGUACUUACUGAGAAUACUAGAGCUGGGUCUGAGAGCUCCAUGAAUGUCGAUGACAGAGCAGGCCACUUCAAAUAGAUAAAACUGCAUUAGUGCUUUUAAAUUUGUCCUUGGGAAUACGCUCAUCUGAAACAAUGAUUGCAGAUACAAAUCAGAUGAAUGCUGCUUUCGGAACUAAAUGAAUGCUCUAAGAGAACAGCUCUGAGAAGAAUACAUUGAAGAGUCUGGAAAGUAAUUUCAUGGAAAAUAGAUUGGGUGCCCAGUUUAUUUGAAGAAAGAUGGGAGUAGAAAAAGCAAAAAGAAGAAAAUGAUUUUAAAGUUUAUUUGGACAUGCCACAAAUUAUGCCUAUAUAUGUUUUAUGCAUGAGUUAAAUAUCUGACAGAUAAUUAUUGAUCACAGAAAUUCUAUAUAAAGGAUGUACUCCCAAAUUGAAUAUCUCUACACAGUAAGCUUAUGUAAUUCAAAUCUUUUUCUCAUAUCAUAUGUUGUUUGUACAUAUAAAGGCUUGCAUUAUUCUGAAAGGGGCACAUUAAAAAUACAAACUCAGCCAAAUGACUGAGAAGAAUUUAGGAUGUACACACUAACGUUAAAAACCAGUGCAAAAAAUUAACUAUCCUCUGAAUGGGUUAUGUUUUCCCAUAUAGUUAGGCCCUGCUGGAUAGUUAUUUAGAUGCCUUGAGAACUAUCUUCAUGUCACCCUCAAGACUCAGGCCCUGGGGCUGCAAAGAGCUAUUUCAUCCCAGGAUGAUCAGAAAUGGGAAAUAUGAAUCAAGGAUGAUUUCUGGCAGAAUUGGGUCUGACUCAUGAAUGGCAAUGCCUUUUUUCUUCCUUUAACUUAUCUUUAAAGGAUAUCCUUUGAAGGAGAUAACUUUCAGGAAAAUGAGAUACUCGUCUAUGAAAAAGUCAAAUUAUUCCAGGUAACAGAGCUCAGAGCAGUCUUCCACAAGGCUUGACACUUCAAAACAAACAAUAAGAAAUCCACUUAAAAUUCCUUAACUUUCCUCUUUCACAGAAUGAUAUUUUACCUCAAGGGUAUUUAUGUAGCUACAGAAAACAAGGGUAGAGGCCCCAGGCUUCUUUCACAAGGUGUUGAUUGAUACUAUAACUUUCCUGGAGCCCAAGAGGAGAGGACUUAAAAUGCACCCAUGGGUUCUUGUCUUGGUAUCGUCAGAAGAAGGAGCAUCUCACUGGUGACAGGGUUCCUUUGGGCAACUUUUUACUGCUCAGAGGUAGAAACAGUUUAUCAAGCUACUGUUUCUUGGGGUGACUUGUUCAAAGUUUCCUUUCACGUAAUGGGAUGCAACAUGAGAUGAGAAGUGACAGCUGGAAGCUGAAUCUUGCAUACAGGAUAGGUGCUCACAUAUCUUAGUGUGAUCAUACAAAACUUUUUGAGGAGUGAGAUUGUUUUUGAGGCCUACUGAUUCAGCAAAGUGCGCUUACUCAAUAUUUUAGGUAGUUAUUAAGGAAGCAGUCCUGAAAGCACUAUAAAGCAAUGCAUAUAAUUAAAAUGUCUUUGACUCAAGACAUGGAACCAACCCAAAUGCCCGUGAAUGAUAGACUGGAUAAAGAAAAUGUGGUACCUACACACCAUGGAAUACUAUGCAGCCAUAAAAAGCAAUGAGAUUAUGUAUUUUGCGGAGACAUAGGUGAAGCCGGAAGCCAUCAUCCUCAGCAAACUAACAGAGGAACAGAAAACCAAACACCUCAUGUUCUCACUCGUAAGUGGGAGUUGAACAAUGAGAACACAUGGACCCAGGGAGGGGAACAACACAUGCCAGGGCCUGUUGGGAUGUGCGGGGCCAGGGGGGUGAACUUAGAUGAUGGGU
rnacentral:lncRNA from 1 species